AGGGUUUUGCCCUAACCCUUCACCCCUCUUCCCUUCCCUUCCUCCUCUUCCCUCCGAGUGGCCACAUCGAAGAUCGGGUUCUUCAUUCUUCAGAAAUCAGAACCCUCCUCGUCGCCUCGUCCUCUUCCGCUUCCGCUUCCGCUUCCGCUCUCCAAACGAUGGAUCAGUAAUCGGGUUGUUGUUCUUUACAAGAAUUUUUAUGCUUUAGUUUCUCUCUCUCUUUCUUUCCUUUAUUUCAUCUUCUCUUAAUUACUAACUGUAUGGUUUUGAUCAGUAACAAGACCAUGACCACAACAUGUAGCAUCAUUGUAAACAUGCAUUUGUUAAGAUUCAUUACUUCCUUUUUAUCUUUAAUCUCUACAGUAUACAUGAAUAUGCCCAGCAUGCAAGAAUAAUCAGCAAAUAAGGUUUUAAGAAUUAAGUCCUCAAAAGGUUUGAUAUGCUCAGCAGGUUUGAAAGUCACAAGCAUAUGCAUUGAUUAAAAACCAAGGGAGAUCUAGCAAACUUAACAAAGGUACAUGGGUGUUAAUUGGCAAUACUGGGAAUUUCCGAUAAAUUUGGAGAAAUAGCAAUAUGGAGAUACAGAUUUGAGUUUGCUAUUUGCUUAAUUAUAUAUUUAUUUUGGAACAUAAUACAGUUUGCUAAUUUUUUACUUAAUUAACUUAAUUUUGUAGCUCUUUAUUCUUAUAUUCUUAAGAAUUAUGAGUAUUUAUACUAAUUGCAUAAAACUUGAGANNNNNNNN
rnacentral:lncRNA from 1 species